rnacentral:lncRNA from 1 species
CGUCGGAUAGUAUUAAUUUAUUUCGGAGAGUACUGACUAUUUAUCCAUAAUAUUAUAAGGCGUUUGGUGCUGUUCCGGAUAAAUAAUUUGACUAAGUUAUACUGUGUUUGGUGAUGUUUCAGAUAACAUCAUAUCAGACUAUUUAUAAAUAAAAAAAAUAUAAAAUUUUUUUUGAUAAUUUUAAUGGAAAUUGAGAUUCAAAUGACACAAAUUUUUUUUGGUAAGAUUCAUAUGACAAUAUUUGUUUUUCAAUUGUUUUUGCCAAGAUUUUUUUUCAUAUAACCCAUUAUCAUAAUUGUAGUAUCUCAUAAAAAUUCCAACAUACUCGCAUACGUUAAUAAAAACAGUAUCAAAUAAUGUAUAAUUCAAAGUGAUCACAUAUUAAGGUAAUAAGAGCAAAAGAGAAAGUUGUUCAUAAACCAAACUACAUCAAAGAGUGAAUCACAACUCCCUCGCCUCAAGUAAGAGAAAAACAAAUGCUUUUCUCAUAGCACCAUCCACUGUCAGGAAUAUUUUUUUUAUCAUUUGCUUUCUCCAAAAUUAGCCGUAGUGCCUUAAUUUGGUCAUUAAUAGACAAGUCCAUCUUUGCUUUUCUAAUAACAAUUGACAAAGAAAAAAAAAUGGUUCUUAGAAUUCAGUUUCAUACAUUUUUAAUUUUAUAAUUUUGCUCUUCUAGUCGUCAGGUAUGUAUGUAUUCAACUAAACUACCAAUACUAGCACAGUUGUUUGUUUUUGGAUGAAAACUGGCAAUACUCUGUUUAAUACCAACAAUCUAAAUAUUCCCACAACGUCGAAUCACUAUAUCACAUACAAAAAAAACAUUCGAUUAAAAAAAGUACCAAAAAAAAAAAAUUCAUAACCUAAUUUCUACUAAAAAUUUGAAAUAUAUAAAGCAUAUUGGAGAGAGUAUGAAAAAAGAGAGAAAGUGAGUGAUGGAUACCUGGAGAAGAGUGAAGAAAAUAACAUGUGGAGAAGAUAGUAGAGAACAACCCUAGGGAGAAGAAGAUGAAAAGAGCAUCUGAUUUUUUUUGUAGAACUCGUGUUCUUUUUCCCUAGCCUUAUAAUUAAGCGUGUAUUAUCUAAACCGGGGUGUGUGGGUUGUAUUAGUUAGUUAGGUAAGGAGAGUAUUAAAAGCCCAACCCGUAUAAAAUAGUCGGGUAAUUAAAUAAUACAAGUUGACACCAAACACCUGACAUAGACUAUUUACUCAUAUCCAGAGUCUAAUACGAUGUACCAAACGAGCCCUUAGCUGUUAUAAAAUAAUCUGGAAUACGUGCGAAUAUUGAGCUGCACGUAAAGUAGAUGAGACACAGUAUUUAGCGAGGUUCGGCUAUGCCUACAUCCCCGGAGAGCAGCAGUAGUAACUUUUCCACUAUGUAAAAUAAUAGGGCUACAACUUUAGAGUUUACAAUAUGUGAGGCUCACUGAAUUUUCUCUCUGCUCACUCACCCUAUUUCUUCCUUCUCUUCCUCCUUUCUCUUUCUUCUCUCUUUCCUUCUUUCCUUUUCUUCUCUCUUUCCUCCUUUCCUUUUCUUCUCCCCGUUUCCUAUCUCUUUCUCUCUUCUUCUUUUCCUCUUCUCUUUCUCUCUUCUUCUUUCUCUAUUUAUAGACAUGUUAAAUGGCACCCGUGUUUCUACAAUACACAUCCGUGAGUGUGCAGCCAAAUACUUUGCUUAAUUUUCUUUGUGGGCCCCAUAAAUGUGGGCUCCACAUGUUUCUUCUUUACAACAUUAGCAAUUUCUUUUGGAGAAAAAAGAGAGGGAAAGCCAAGGAAAGAGAAAUUUUUAAAGAAGUCAAAUGGACAAAUGCCUUGUGAUAUAUAGGUUAAAUUGUAGCUAUGGUUUCUGAAAUAUAGUCCGAGUUGUAUUUUCAUCUUUCAACUUCAAAAAUAGGUGUUUUCCAAUAGGUCUUGCAUUGCAGCGUUUAUCCUUUACGUCAAGUCUGUCUAAUUUACCUCUCAAAAAGUCAACUAAAUUGAUAAUUGUAUACCUCAAAUUGAUGGAAUUUAACGAAAUGACCAAUUUGACAUAUGUGAGAGAGUUGGAGGAUGAGUAAAACUAAAAAAAUUAGUUGAAUGAUCAAAAUGAAACCGGGUAUGACCAUUCGAUNNNNNNNNNNNNNNNNNNNNNNNNNNNNNNNNNNNNNNNNNNNNNNNNNNNNNNNNNNNNNNNNNNNNNNNNNNNNNNNNNNNNNNNNNNNNNNNNNNNNNNNNNNNNNNNNNNNNNNNNNNNNNNNNNNNNNNNNNNNNNNNNNNNNNNNNNNNNNNNNNNNNNNNNNNNNNNNNNNNNNNNNNNNNNNNNNNNNNNNNNNNNNNNNNNNNNNNNNNNNNNNNNNNNNNNNNNNNNNNNNNNNNNNNNNNNNNNNNNNNNNNNNNNNNNNNNNNNNNNNNNNNNNNNNNNNNNNNNNNNNNNNCAAAAAUCUUGAACUCCUUUUAAGAAACUUUUUUGAACCAUUAGAUUAAUAUCUAACGGUGAGUAAUCACAAUCUCUUGGACUCCUGUGGUCCAAGAGAUCAAGACUAUUAAAAAAAGAUAACACGAGCAGUUAUGUUUCAUAAAAGUAGGAUCUAUUAUUUAUUUUAAUUUUUAAUUUUAAUUUAUUUUAAUAUGAAAAAAUAUAAAUUUACUAUAUUAUUCUCAUUUAAUUAAUAAUUUCAAUUCUCAAUUCUUAAUUAUUAUCCUCAUCGAAGUGUUGCCUUGGCUGCUGCUGAAUUGGUUUAUAUAGCUAAAAUGUUUAAAGACAUUGGCUUCUUUCUAGGCACUCCUCCUCUUCUCUGGGUGGACAAUCAACUGCUAUUUCUUUGGCUUCUAAUCGUGUGUUUCAUACCAGGACUAAACACGUGGAGGUUGAUUAUCACUUCACACGAGAAUUGGUGCAAAAUGAUUAAUCAGCUUCCUGACAUUUUUACAAAGUCUCUAUCUUCCUCUCUUUGUGUAUCUUCCAUCCAAGCUUUCAGUUUGUGACACUACCUUCAGCUUGAAGGGGCUGAUAGAUAUAUCUCCACAUCUAAUUCUAGCCUUUCAUUAUAGAGUUGUUAAUUUCUGUUUAGCUUUAUUUUAAUAAAUUGUAAAGCUGUCAUUAAUGUACAUCUAUAUUAUUACAAGUGUAUAUAAACAAUUCAAUGUAAUCAUUAUUGUUUAAUAAAAUGAGAAUACAAUUUUAGUUUUCUCACAAAAUAUUGAAGGAGAAUUAGAAAGUGGAAAAGUCAAGAAGUAGAGGAUUAGUGUCAGGACUUUUAGGCCUGAGGAAACAGUACUGAAGUUGACAAUGAGUAAGAGAUUCUUUGAUAUUAGCAAAACUAACACGACAAACAUGCCAAAUGUUGGGAUUUUGGGUGACUGAUUUUGAAAUUAAAAUGUUGUAGUGGUGACGUUGUCGAAAAUGUUAGGUGAGAGAAGAACAUAUCAUGUAUUCAUUUUCUAGCCAUCUAUAAAUUGUUUUUUUUAAAUAAAAACAUUAACAACAUUACAUGUAAAACUUGACCCCAAAAAUAAAUAAAUAAUUACAUGUAAAACAAUUGAGUGAUGGGGGCCAUUGCAUUAUUCCCCUUUGGAUUUAUGCAUGCAGGAGGAGCUAGUAGGCUUCGCAUUUAUGGGUAGAAUGGACAUUAUUGGACAACCUUAGGUAUGCAUAUAUAGGAAAACGUCCAAAAUCCAUAAAGUUGGGACGUACGUGGUGGUGCAUGCAUGUUGGUAUUUGAUAUUGAUAUUUUAUUCCCACCCAAAAUAUUACAAACGAAUGCAGUCAAAAAAUAACUCAAAACCAGUGCACACUCGCGUCACGUGCUUCUGCAGACACAAACUAGUAAGCAAUUCACAGAGGACAUAGCCACAGAGGGGGAGCAGAUCGAUGCAAAUUAUUAAGUUUUUCUUUAAGCCAAAAAACUCAGCACCGACAUGACUUAAUAAUUAAGAUUACCACAGUAUAUCGAUCUGAUACACUAUCAGAUAAACAAAAAACAAAACAACAAAUUACAGAAAUUGAUCCCUCAAGAAGUAGAUUUCACUUCCAAGCUUUCACAUGCUAUUAAUUAUUAGCUGACACAUAUUAUGCUAAUCAAUUAAACCACAGUGACCACUAAUUGGGAUAUUUAGAACUGUGCUGUGGUGAUGAUCAACUUCAACUAUGCAGGGCACUGGAAUCCAGAGGGUGGAGUUUUCCCACAGUCAAUCAGAACCUGAAGAGCGAUGGGGAUGAUGAUGUUGAUGUUGAGAAGCUUAGCCUUGAUGGUGGUGCAAAGGCAAAUUGCAGCAUCCAAGUCCACCAGCCCUUGAAGCACUGGACAGCAUGCAUCCUUGGCACUGCUGCCAAUUCCAAUGUGAAUGAGGCCACCCAACACAUCCACACAAGCUCCCAACUUGAGAGUGUCGAUGGGACACGUGUUCUUUGGUGGUGAUGGGGUUGGCACUGGUGUUGGUGGUGGUGGAGGAGGACAUGGUGUCUCAGUGGGUGGAGGAGGCUUAACUGGUACAACUGGGGUAGGUGUAGGUGUUGGUGGGCUUGGUGGUACAACAGGUGGUGAUGGUGGUGGCUUAACUGGUACAACUGGGGUAGGUGUUGGUGUUGGUGGGCUUGGUGGUACAACAGGUGGUGAUGGUGGUGGCUUAACUGGUACAACUGGGGGCUUGGGUACAUAGGGUGGUGGGGGUUGUACAACUGGGGGCUUGGGUACAUAUGGUGGUGGUGGUUGUACAACUGGGGGUUUGGGGAUGAAGGGUGGGUGCACAAUUGGGGGUUUAGGGAUAAAAGGUGGGUGCACGAUUGGGGGCUUGGGGAUGAAGGGUGGGUGCACAAUUGGGGGCUUGGGGAUGAAGGGUGGGUGCACAAUUGGGGGUUUAGGGAUGAAGGGUGGGUGCACAAUUGGGGGUUUAGGGAUGAAGGGUGGGUGCACAAUUGGGGGUUUAGGGAUGAAGGGUGGGUGCACAAUUGGGGGCUUGGGGAUGAAGGGUGGGUGCACAAUUGGGGGCUUGGGGUGGGGUGGUGGUUUGACAAUAGGAGGCUUGGGGAUGAAGGGAGGUCUCACAAUAGGUGGUUUGGGGACAGAAGGAGGUUUUGGUAUAUGGGGAGGAUAUACAAUGGGGGGUUUGGGGCCAUGAGGUGGCUUGGGUACAUGGGGUGGAUGAGGAUGAGGUGGCUUUGAUGGUGGCUUGGGAACAUAGGGAGGCUUUACAUGAGGGGGAUGGGGUGGUUUUGAUGGUGGUUUGGGAACAUAGGGAGGCUUUACAUGAGGAGGAAGAGGUGGUUUUGAUGGUGGUUUGGGAACAGAGGGAGGCUUUACAUGAGGGGGAUGAGGUGGGUGUUUAGGUGGUUUAGGGAUGAAGGGUGGCUUUACAUGAGGAGGCUGUUUGGGUGGCAAGUGUGGAGGGUAUGUUGGUGGUGGACAGUAGGAGUUAGCAAGAGAAGUGAGCAAACUACCCAAAUUCACAAUGAGGACUAAGAGCAAAGCCAGGGUAUAAUUCCCCAUGUUCAAAACUCCACAACCCUCAAAAGAGUUGGGUUGUUUAAGACCGGAUAUUGAAACCCAACACCAUGCAAAAGCCUUCUUAUAGAGAUAUGGUGAGACAAGUUGUGAGUGAGUAUGUACAUAAGAGAGAGAGAGAGAGAGAGAGAGAGAGAGAGAGAGAGAGAGAACACAAUCCUGUACCUUUCUUUGUGGUACCAACUAAAGAUAUAUAAAACUAUUAAUCUCUGUGCAUAAUUAAUUAAUUUGUCAAAUUGCCAAGAUGCACAUUGAAUUGAGGUCUCUCCAAACUCCAAACUUCAACUUGAUCAGUAUCAAAUUCACCACAAACAAAAGGGAGGAAUUGAGUCACUUUCUUCCUUUACAUUCAGAACCAAGUAGGGCACUGCAAUCACUGACUUAAACUGUAGACAAAAGUAUUCAGCUUUUAAGGAGAAAAGGAUCAAGAAAACGCGGUUUUGUGAUAGAGGCAAGUUUUAACAUGUAGUGAGAGCCUUGCAAGUGACUAUUCAACCCGUGAUUGAGGUUUUGAUGCCAAGCCACAUGUGAGGCUUUCAUUGACAACAUUUUCUUGCAUUAAAAAAUUCUAAGGGUACAAAAGAGGCCUUAGACUUUUUCUACUUAAAGCACAUGGUUUUUCCUUUUUUCAUUUUUUGGGGGUUUUCUCCCGAAUAGACGAGUCCAUUAAUGCUACAAUGUUUUAGUCUAAGAAAUAUUCCUAUAUGAAUAGACCGUACAAUUGUAUUUGAGUGUCGGUUAUCUUAAUUUAUUAUUUUUUAUAUAAACGAUAUUGUAUUUUAAUUUAAUCCAUACUAUAAAAAGAAUUAUUUAAAUUUAGAUACAAAAUAAAGAACACAUUUGUUCUAACUAACUUAAUUAAUCCUAUGUGUGCAAUUAUUUUUUACAAUUAAACAACUCGAUUUGAUGUAGGAAUUUUCCUUGUACAAUUUAACUUGCUCGCUUUGCAAUUUCAUUUCAAAAAAGUAUAUGCAUGGCCUAGCCAUCAUGUCUUUCAAAUCAACAGCUCAUCAUAGGGCAUCUUUUUAAAAUGAGGGUAAUGCUGGCUUCACAUGCAGCUGCACAAUAAUUUCAAGAAUUAUUAAUCGUACCUAGCAUUGUUAGCAAGACAUUUAGGGCUGUAAUUAUGUGAAAAGUGAUGUUCGCCGAAUCAAUUAUAUAAGGAGAACUUACUGCAAAACAACUCUGUGUGGAACCCAUCUACUUGUUCUUUGUUUUUUUUAGGUCUGAAGUCCAUCUACUUGUUCACUCCACGCCAUUGAAGUGUAGUCUAUCUAAAAUGGUAAGGGUGCCCUAGUUUAGGCGUAAGUACUAUGUGCAGGGUUUUGGGUUUUUCUUUGUAGACAAAAACCUAGAAGUAUCAUAUCUACAUUGUUCUGACUAUUAAAAAAUUAGACAAAGGGGUAAUGAUUAUGCCAAAAUGAAUUUCAACAUCACUUUCGACCGACAAAAUUUCAUUUGCUUAUAUCGAAGCUCGUAUUGAAAUUUAUUAAUUUUAACAAAGUUAGAAUAUGUCAUCUGUCACGUAAUUUGGUGAAUAAAUUUUAUCUUUCGGUGCCUCUACAAUAUUAAAGCAUCAAAUAGUGCAAAUCAUGACAUCUUAUUUCAACGUUCAUUAACAGACCUUCAUACAAUCAAGGCAUCGGAUGCAAGUAGGGUGGUAGAUUUUUUCCCCUUUUCAACCCAAUAAUAUGAGUUAAAACAAUUAUAUGUGGAACACAAUAACACCGCUUUAAUAAUUCUAUCUAAAAGGGUAUAUGCGACAGCUGGCCAAGAGGUAUAUUCCAUGUACACAAAAUGUUACUUUCAACUACAUGCCAAUAUUUCUACAGCGAAAAUUCCAAAUCAACAUGCAAAGGGAAAAUGAAAUGGGAUGUACUUGCUGUAGUGCCUGUUUGGAUAGAAAGAAAGGAAAAGAAAAGAAAAGAAAAUUCAUUUCUUGGAGAAACCAGAAAUUGAGUUUUUCGUCCUUAUUUUCGAAGUGUCGCAAUCAAGUUUUUUUGAUAUAUUGAUGAGUCAUCCAUUGUAGAAGAAAUGGCAUCCAUCAAAACCUGCCACCAUUAAAAUCCAUGCAAAUCCACUUGUUACAAUUAUAUGAAGUCACUUGUGCAAAGCGACAUAUGAAUUUAAAGGGCGAUAAAGCCGAUGUAAUAUAUGUAGGGUCAGGCUGAGACUACUUUGUCUCCAAAUCUUUAACCAAAUCUAAUUUAACACUAAUUAUUAUUGCUCACUACAUCAAGUAAGAAAGAUUAAUAGUAUUUUUCGGUGUGAAUGCAUAAACGUAUCUGUGGAUUCUUAUUAUUUCGAUGUGAGCUUACAGCUUAGCAUAUUAACCUCACUUCAUAUAAAAAUUAUCUCCAAUCCUGAGGUCUAACUUUAUAAAAAAAAAUGAAAAUGACUUUGUAGGUCCAAAUCAAAAUGCAACGUGCCGACAAACACGGACUUAGUCAAGUUGGUUAAAGUGAAUGUGCUAUUCUCACUUUGCAUUCGAUUUCAAAUUCCCCUCCUUAUGAUUUAGAUUAGAUCUAAGUAAAACAUUGCUUAUAUAUAAAAGCAAUAUGCAGCUGUAUGCAGAAGAUUUGGUUGAAUAAUUGCUCUAUAUAAAAUAAUAGGUAAAGUACCUUGAUUAUCUUUUUUCCAACAACCCUGUUCCCUAUAUCUGCCCAUUGUUUAUAUCAUAAUCAAUCAAUUAAUUGAUUAACAACACCAAAUUCUUGAUACCUUCAGCAAAGACACGAUAUUUUCUACCCAAUUUAGUUUGUCGUUUGAAGAAAAAGAAGAAGGAAAAAAAAAACAUUUAGUUUGUCAGAUCAUAUCUUAUAGCAUGAGUGUUAUAUUUAAAACUAUAUAAGAAGGGGCAAAAUUUGGACAUACUUGGAUCAACUGUAACAAUCAUGGCAGUCCCUCCAAAAUCACAAGUGCCACCGGCAGCCCUGGUGCUCUGCCAGUAGCUGUUGAAGGCGUACGAAGCGUGGGACAACAAUGUGUCUGGUUUAUAGCAGGACCCAUUGGGCUGGAUUGACUUGCAGUCUGCACCAGACCCACACGCAUAGUCCAGGGCCUCUUGGACUAUUGGGCCAGGCACGGCUGGCUUGGCCACACACCACACCGCGCCAGACUGUGGUGGCUUUUUUCGUGGAGGGCUUGUGGGCCCUGAUGGUGGAGGGUAAGCUACAGGUGGGGCCAAGGCUGGUGGGCCUGGGAUAGGCUUGGGUGGGGAUGGAGGAUUUUUGGGUGGGCCUGGAAUUGUGGUGGGUGGGCCAGGUGGGUGAGGGGUGGGCCCAUUUGCAGGUGGUGGUUUUGGGAUGGGUGAGCAAGUGGGUGCAGAAGAUGAAGGGGAGGAGGAAGAUGAAGGAGUAUUUGGUUGAGGUGGGUUUUGGGAAAAUGGUGGAUUUGCACAGUAUGGAGGAAGAGGAACAUUUCCAGGCAAGGGAAGUGGUGCCAGUGAAUCAAAGGGUGGGAAAGAGAAGGGAGGACUUACCUCUAGUGGCUUAACAUUUGAGGAAGGCAAUGGUAAAUCUAACUCUAAGUGAUUUAUUGCUUUCAGCUUCUUCUCUAAUUCUGUGUCUUGGGAUUUUAAGAAUUGUGCAAAAAUUCUUGCAUCUGCUCUAAAACAAAGUCACAUAAUAAGUUGUUAAAAUUGUUCAAGUAGUGUGUCUUUGGAAAACCCAAAUAAAUAAAUAAAUUCUUGCUUACCACAUAAAAUGGAGAAAGUUGUGAAUGAAAUGGAGAUGAUGGCCAAUCUCAUGUAAGACAUUGUGGGCUGCAUCUCUUGAAAAGCCAAUGUGAUUAAAGGCAAAAUACCCAGAAGAAGCUGACUGAAAAUUUUGUGCUUAUUUAAUUCAUCCCUCAAGCAAACACUUGGGAUAAGUAUAUAUAGGCAGAUGCUUAGGCAGGCCAGAGAUGUGUGGGAGUGGUAACAAAAGGCGGUGGCCAUAAAGGAAAAUUAUCAACAUAGAGAGACUAAAGGAGAUUCCUGUGUCACAACUUUGUAGCCUAAGACUCAAAAAUAGUGUAAGAUAUACAACAUGCAGAGGACAAAGGUGAGGGAGAGAGAGACUAGAGAGUGUUGGUUUUGGAGAGGUGUACAAGAAACUUUUCUCCCUUUUUGCAUCUUCCUUUGAAUAUAUUCUUGCUUGGCAGUGGAGAAAUAUGAACAGUGGAGUUUUCUGCACUUUUAUUUGCUUGCUUUCCACUCAAAGUGAAACAAACUUCCACUCUGUUAAAGUAUAAGAGAUUUAGCUGAGUUUGUUACUUAAAUUAUGAGCCUUUGGAUCACAGUCCAAAUGGACAGCUAGGAUGUAUUCUUAGGUGUAGUUGAUUUGUGCCAAGUGUAGCUAUCUCAUAGGGUAGUUAAUGAUUGGUUAGAUUUGCUGAUGUAAGAGAGAAUAUUCUUUUCUUUUACUGUUAUAUUGGUAUGCACAGAUUGUGCAUGACUAAGUGUGAGAAUACAAUCUGAUAUUUUCAUCUUCUUCUUCUCCACGUUUUCUCUCUACAUUUUACUAGAGCUCCAUUCACCUAUAAUCCAAAAACAUGGCAGAUCAUAGUCUGCAAAUGCUAACAUGGUAUCACUGAGCCAGGUUUGAUCGUUUAGCUGGGCGUUUGAAUCUGUGAAGGAAGUGAGCUGCGUUUUCUAUCAAAUCUUGCUCUCUGUGAAAUCUGUGUCUAACAUGGCAGGAUCUGGAGGUGGUGAGCUGCGUGCUCCAAUCUUCAAUGGUGAGAACUAUGAAUUCUGGAGCAUAAGGAUGAAAACCAUUUUCAAAUCUCAUGGGAUUUGGGAGCUGGUUGAGAGAGGAAUAGAAGGCUCAGAUUCGAAGGGAGCUGAUGAAUCUGAUACAAAACAAAAGGAAAAAGAGGAAUCAAGUGGUUCUGGGAAGAUGGCUAUAGCUGAGAUCCUGAUGAAGGAUGCUAAGGCCUUGGGGUUGAUUCAAGGAGCAGUAUCUGAGGUGAUCUUCCCCAGGAUUUCUCAUGAAGAAUCAUCUCAUGGAGCCUGGAACAUCCUGAAGCAGGAAUUUCAUGGUGAUAAGCAGGUAAGAAGUGUAAAACUGCAGGGACUUCGUAGAGAAUUUGAAUACACUAGAAUGAGAGAGGAUGAAUCUCUAUCUGCUUAUCUUACAAAGUUGUUUGAUCUAAUAAACCAAAUGAGAGGUUAUGGGGAAGAACUAUCUAGAGAAAGAAUUGUGCAGAAAAUGUUAAUUAGUCUGCUGCCUGGAUAUGAUCCAAUCUGUUCUGUGAUUGAACAUUCAAGGGAUCUAGAUGUAAUUGAGGUUCAAGAGGUGGUAGCCUCAUUGAAGAGCUUUGCUCAAAGGUUGGAAAGACAUCAUGAGAACAAAACUGAGAAGGCCUUUGCUAGUCUGAGUACAGAUACCAAAUCUGCUAAGGCCACUGGAAAUCAGAAUUCCAAGCAGCAGAAGACUUGGAAAGACAAAGGGAAGAAGUGGGAUAAUAAACCUACGGAUGGAACUAAAACUCCUUGCAAACAUUGUGGGAAAUUGCAUUAUGGAGAAUGUAGGUUCAAGGGCAAACCAAAGUGCUAUAACUGUGACAAGCUUGGUCACAUUGCCAAAGACUGCUAUAGCAAGAAACCUGAACAGCAGCAGCAGCUUCAGUUUGCUACUCAGGUUACUUCUUCACCAACCAUGUUCUAUGCUAACAAUGCAACUGAGAAAAGGUCCAUGGAAGAGGUAUGGUACUUGGACAGUGGGUGUAGUAACCACAUGACUGGCAGAGAAGAUGUUUUGAUUGAUAUUGAUAGGAAUGUGACUGCAAAAGUUGCUAUGGGAACAGGACAGUUGGUUGAUGUUAUUGGAAAAGGAAGCCUGAUGGUUCAAACUAAAAUGGGAAGGAAAUAUAUCAAGGAGGUGCUAUUGGUAUCUGGUCUCAAAGAGAACCUACUCAGCGUUGGACAAAUGAUGGAGCAUGGAUAUUUCCUAAUUUUUGGAGAUAAUAAGGCAGAAGUCUAUGAUGAUAGCUCUCUUUCAAAUCUAGUGGCUAGAGUGGAUAUGAAAGGAAAUAGAAGUUUUCCUUUGAAACUUCAAACAGAUUUACAUAUUGCUCUAACUGCAAGCAUUAACCAAUCAACCUUGCUUUGGCAUAGGAGAAUGGGGCACUUAAACUUGCAGAGUUUGAAACUGCUGCAGAAUGAAGACAUGGUGUUUGGUCUGCCAGAAAUCAAAAAUACAAAUGCAGUGUGUGAAGGCUGUACUUUUGGAAAACACUGCAGGAAGGCAUUUCCAAAAGAAGCAACCAGCAGAGCUACAUCUCCACUGGAAUUGGUACACACUGAUGUGUGUGGACCAAUGCAAACUGUUACCAAAGCAGAAAACAGGUAUUUCCUCACCUUUAUAGAUGACUGUACAAGAAUGUGCUGGAUCUAUUUCUUGAGAUGCAAAUCUGAGGUAUUCACAGUGUUUAAGAGGUUUAGAGCCACUGUUGAAUUGCAAAGUGGAUAUAAGGUGAAGAAACUAAGAAGUGAUAGGGGAGGAGAGUACACCUCUAAUGAGUUCAAUAAAUUCUGUGAUGAAAUGGGAAUGGAGAGGCAGCUUACAGUGGCAUACUCACCACAGCAGAAUGGUGUGGCUGAGAGGAAAAACAGAACCAUAGUGGAGAUGGCCAAGUGUAUGAUGAUUGAGAAGGGCAUGCCACUUGAGUUUUGGGCAGAAACUGUUAAUACUGCAGUGUAUAUUCUAAACCGAAGUCCAACUAAAGCUCUGGACAAGAAAACACCAUUUGAAGCCUAUAGUGGGAGAAAGCCAGGACUUAAACACUUAAGAGUGUUUGGAUCUUUGUGCUAUGCACAUGUUCCAAAUCCACAGAGGCAGAAACUGGAUUCAGCAAGCAACAGAUGUGUGUUUCUAGGAUAUGGCAGCUGUGAGAAAGGGUAUAGACUGUAUAACAUUGCCACUGAAAAGGUGAUUAUCUCAAGGGAUGUGGUAUUUAAUGAAGAAGCUAGCUGGGAUUGGAAUGCAAAGCAAGAAUGCAGUGUUUCAGUGCCAUUUACUGAAGUUGUGUCUGAAAAGGAGAAAGGGAGCAAUGACACAGCUGUGAAGCAAGCAGAACAUUCAGUUGAGAAUGAAUUGCUAACAGAAGACAAUGAAGAAAGAUCUGUGGUUGAUACAGGUACUCAAGAUAUUGACCACACUCCAUUGAGAUACAAAAGUCUUACAGAGAUCUAUGAAAGCUGCAACAUCUGCAUCAUUGAACCAGAAUCCUUUGAAGAAGCUGUCAAGGAUGCAGCAUGGCAAAAGGCAAUGGAAGCAGAACUUGAGAUGAUAGAAAAGAAUGAAACUUGGGAUUUGGUAAAAAGACCAUCUGAUAAACCUAUAGUUGGUGUCAAAUGGAUCUUUAAAGUCAAGCUAAAUCUGGAUGGUUCUGUUCAGAAAAACAAAGCAAGGCUAGUAGCUAAAGGCUACACUCAAAAGCCAGGAAUUGAUUUCAAUGAGACAUUUGCACCUGUUGCUCGGCUUGACACAGUUAGAACACUGAUUGCUCUGGCUGCUCAGAAAAGGUGGAAACUGUUUCAGCUUGAUGUAAAGUCAGCCUUCUUAAAUGGAGUGCUACAAGAGGAGGUGUAUGUGGAUCAACCUCCAGGAUUUGUGGUUCAAGGCAAGGAAGACAGAGUUUAUAGACUCAAGAAGGCUCUUUAUGGUCUCAAACAAGCUCCAAGAGCUUGGUAUGAAGAAAUUAAUUCAUACUUUGCUGCUGCAGGAUUUCAGAAAAGUCCUAGUGAGGCUACAUUAUAUGUGAAAGCUGCAGAAAGUGGAAUCCUAAUUGUUUCACUAUAUGUAGAUGAUAUCAUCUACACAGGAAGCUCUAAAGAAUUGGUGAUGAGUUUUAAAACUGAAAUGAUGAAGAGAUAUGAAAUGACAGAUCUGGGAUUGUUGCACCAUUUUCUGGGAUUGGGUGUGAUACAAGCUGAGUCCUACAUCUUCUUGCAUCAGAAGAAAUAUGCAAGAACACUGUUGGACAAGUUUGGUUUAAAGGACUGUAAAGCAGUGUCAACUCCACUUGCUAUGAAUGAGAAGUUAUCCAAGGAGGAUGGAAGUGAACAGGCUGAUGAAAAGCUGUACAGACAGAUUGUUGGAAGCUUACUAUAUCUGACUGCAACAAGGCCAGAUAUCAUGUUUGCUGCAAGUCUCUUAGCAAGAUACAUGCAUGGACCUACUAAGAAACAUAUGGGAACUGCUAAGAGAGUACUUAGAUACAUUCAAGGUACUCUAGACUAUGGCAUUGCAUAUGAGAAAGGAAAAGAGGCAAUGCUGGUUGGAUAUUGUGACAGUGAUUGGUCAGGCUGUGAAGAUGAUAUGAGGAGCACAUCUGGCUAUGCCUUUCACCUUGGAUCAGGUGUUUUCUCUUGGGCAUCUGUUAAGCAGAGCAGUGUAGCUCUAUCCACUGCAGAGGCAGAAUAUGUUAGUGCAGCUGAAGCUACAGCUCAAGCAGUCUGGUUAAGGUUUGUUCUAUCUGAUUUUGGUGAAGAACAAGUUGAGGCUACAACAAUCCUAUGUGACAACACUUCUGCAAUAGCAAUAACAAAGAAUCCUGUGCAUCAUCACAGGACAAGACACAUAAGCAGAAGGUUUCAUUUCAUCCGAGAUGCUUUGCAAAAUGGUGAGAUUGAUCUGCUAUACUGCAAAACUGAUGAGCAGAAUGCAGACAUCUUCACUAAGGCUUUGGCAAGGAAUAGGUUUGAAUAUCUAAGGAGCAAGCUUGGAAUUAUUUCAGCUAAACACUUAGAAGGGAGUGUUAAAGUAUAAGAGAUUUAGCUGAGUUUGUUACUUAAAUUAUGAGCCUUUGGAUCACAGUCCAAAUGGACAGCUAGGAUGUAUUCUUAGGUGUAGUUGAUUUGUGCCAAGUGUAGCUAUCUCAUAGGGUAGUUAAUGAUUGGUUAGAUUUGCUGAUGUAAGAGAGAAUAUUCUUUUCUUUUACUGUUAUAUUGGUAUGCACAGAUUGUGCAUGACUAAGUGUGAGAAUACAAUCUGAUAUUUUCAUCUUCUUCUUCUCCACGUUUUCUCUCUACAUUUUACUAGAGCUCCAUUCACCUAUAAUCCAAAAACAUGGCAGAUCAUAGUCUGCAAAUGCUAACACACUCUCUCUCUCUCUCUCUCUCUCUCUCUCUCUCUCUCUCUCUAUAUCAGGCUCUACAUUUCUCAGGAAGCUAUUAACUUGUUAUUAAAUGGUUCCUUGGGAUUAAUAUUCCAAAAUAGUUUGACAUCCUUUCCAGCCUUAGCAAUCAUAUUUCACACACUAAUGCAUGUUUUUCAGCUUGAUGUGGUAUUAGUUGACUUCAAUAUUACAGAACUCUUGGUUCAUGCUCAUCACUGAACCUGAAACCUAGGAGUUUUUGUUUGGGAAUGUAACCAGGAAGAUCAAAAUAUACCAAACUUGGGAACGAGAGAGGUGCAUAAAACUUUUGCUCAUCAUCAAAGCUAAAUGUGUCAUCGUAGUUUGAGCAUAUUUCUUACUCUCUAUAUAUUUCAUUGCAGACACACAAGACUUUCAGUUUUAACUAAGAACAACUAAAAAGCCCACAUGAACUCCUUUGCUAGAAUUUGCUGAAAAAGAAAUUGUAAUCUUCAUUAAGCAGGCUUACAUAGGUAAAUAAAUUGUGUAGCUCUUAUUCUUGUUAUUAACUGUUAAAUUAAAAUCUCCAUGUCAUCCUGUUUUUUUUUUUUUAACUGUUUGGCAACACCACUUUGCCAUCCAUAAACUAUAACUAUUCUUCUCCCUAAGGGAAUUUUAUUAGGAAAUUACCCAUCUGGUAUGUAAAUCAUGUUUCAGAGUUCACAUUUAAACACAACCUUUAAACUUGGACAAUAAAUUAUAGGACCGUUGCCAACAACCCGACGCCAUCUAUAACAAGUGUGGCUUGAACUGUUCUUGAAUUUAGAAAGCAAAUUUAAGAAGCUCCAUUACUUAGCAUGUAAGUUUUGUUUCCGAGUUCAAUUGGAAAAAAUUAUGCUAUCGUUGGCAACUGUCCCUUGCCAUCUAUAACAAUCCAGGCUUGAACUUUUGUUGAAUUUAGGAAGCAAUUUAAUUAGCUUCACUACUCAAAAUGCAAAGGAUGUUUUUAAAUUUCAAAUUCAAACAUUAGGAAGCAAUUGAAUAAAUUAUGUGGCUGUUGCAACGGUCCCCUGCCAUAUUCGAUAUCUACCAUGUUUAUCAUUUAUGACCUGAAAAGGCAUAACAGGGCAACUAAGCUGACUCUAGUAUAAAUCUGCUCAAUUGUUCAAGUUAUCCAUCAUAUUGUGUUUGCUAAACCACAGCCUUAUUCAGGACAAUAAGAAAUAUGGCUGCAGACCCUUCCCCAAGGAUGCUAAUCACUCAUAAGGGACCCUGUGUCCGCUACAUUGCUUGGACUCCACUCUUGAAUGGUUUCUGGAAGCUCAGCUUCACAGGUCAUUACAAGCACGAAUCGAAGACUACUUCAGUCGGCUGCAUUUCUGAGAGAUCACAAUGCUGUAUUUAAAGCUGCCUUUGCGCAACAUGUAGAAAUGGUCAGCAGCUUUACAAGGGCUCAGUCGACUGCAGUCAGCUGGGCCCUUGAAUUAGCUAAAGGUGAAGGUGUCGAUUACCUUGAAAUCGAAGGAAAUCAUCCGUUUGUGUUUCGGAUGAUGUGGGGCGACAUCACCAGAACUAGCUCUAUGAUCAGGGGCUUGUUAAUAAAUGCAGAUGUGAUUUAAGACAGAUUAGGAGUGUGAGGCUCCGACAUGUCAACAUGUAUGGUAAUUUGGCUGCGAACUUGCUUGCGAGAAUUUCUUUGCAGCCUCAACAAGAGAGGUCAUGGUUUGGUGACCCUCCGGAAGAAAUAAAUGGAAUUCUAGUGAGGGAUGUGAUCGGUCGUUGGAUCGCUUUCUCGGACCUAUGAGUGAGUCAUCAUUUGGAUGACACAGAAGGACUUCGUGGAUUUCUUUCUUCAAGGAAAAAUCUGUUAAGUUGCUUUUCUUUUUGGUUAAGUAGCAGUUUGCACAUCUUUUAUUUUCAGAAAUGAAAUAUUUUGGAUUAGUGAUGAUUGUGAAGCCCUUGAUUUUUCUAAUCUCUUCCUUAAAGAAUUAAGAUGUGUGAACAUGUAACUACUAAGAACAAAAGUCAUCUGCUUAAUCUCACAUUUCAUUUUCAUUUUCUUCCUUUGUAGUUUAAUUGUAUUCCCUGACCUUUCCGGUACUGACCAUGACCCCUAUCUAUCAAAACCAAGUUCAAAUAAGGGAGAAUUUUUAAGGAGAUAUAUUGAUGACCUUGGGUGGAAUUUUUUCUUAGUAAAACUUUUAUGUGGUUUUACUCAAUAAACAAGUUACUCGUUUUACUCGACUUGAAUUUUUGCCUAUUUUGUCUAGAAUCAAUUACGUUUGAUGAUGAAACCAAUUACCAAAUAGUUCUUAAUCUAGUGAUACUUCUCUUCUCAACAAGUUACAAGGAUUCCGAACUCAAUUUAAUCACCUGUAGAAAUUACUUUGUCGCUGACAUGCCCGUGUGCCUUCAAAUGUUGAGGUCCAUUAGAAAGUGACCGUGCCUUUUAUCAAUAACAAACCCACAUGCCCAACUUGACCAACAAAUAAUAUUUUAAUAAAGUAACCGGUGCCUUUUAAGAAUGUAUUGUGGGAUGAAUUAAUGAUCUACCACAAUUAAAUGCAUUUUCAAAUAGCGAAAUAUUACAACAUCGCAGAGAGGUAUUGCAUGAUCUACCACUCUAGUUAUUCUGUUGCUGCAGUGCAGUGCAAUGCAGGUGUACAACUUAUUGUUCAACAGAAAACACAAAAUAACUUAACUUGAACUAAGUCCAUAAUAUAAAAAAGAUGAAGAGGCCAUGGACUGGAAACUCUGGAUCCAGAUGAUGUAGGGAUCAAGGGGUGUAUGGCCUUGGAAUAAGAUACAGAGGAGCUUUCUUAUGGACUGUGAGUCCGAACACUUCGGUCAUGUUCAAUGUGUCAGCCAAUUUAGUACCACCACUAGGCAACUUCCAAUCGAACCAAAACAGUAGGUUGGCAAGCACAUAUUCAGCUGAAGCAACCGCAAAGGCCAGUCCGGGGCACACCCUUCUUCCACCACCAAACGGGAGGAGUUCGAACUCUUGACCUACCAAACCGAUGGAGUUCUGCUCAAACCUCUCUGGCAUAAACUCUUCUGGCUUGUCCCAGACUCUGCGGUCUGUUUGUAUUGCGAAUGCAUUCACAAACACUUGUGUUUUCGCAGGGAUGUCGUAACCUCCCAAUUUUACAUCUGCAGUUGUUUCACGAGGAAGUAAAAGAGGACCUGGAGGAUGAAGCCUUAGAUUUUCGGUGAUUACACAUGACAAGUACUUCAUUUCCUUGAUGUCACUCUCGUCUACAUAUCCCCUUUUCCCCGCCACUCUUCUUACUUCUUCUUGGACUUUCUUCAUCACCCGUGGAUUUUGCGAAAGCUCAGACAUUAACCAUAGCAUUGAUGUCCAACUAGUAUCACUUCCCCCAACAAACAUGUCCUAAAUCAUGAAAUUAAAUAGCCAAAUCAAUCUUCAUCCAUAUAUAUUUUUAUUAGAAAAUUAGACGUAAAACCAAAAGUAUUAGGGUUUAUCAAUGUGCGCGUGUGUGUGGGUAUGCUCGUGCCUGUUCAAGAUAAAGUAAGUGAAUGAGUAUAAUGCGAGUAUGUAAGCUAGAGAGGGGGGGAUAUAGACCUGCAUAAGUCCUUUGACAUUGAACUCAAAAUCGAGCGAGCCAUCCUCUUCAAGGUCGAGGAGUAAAUCCACAAUAUCCUUCUUACGAGGCUUACCAUCUUUCUGCGCUGCUUUAUGUUCGUCAAGCAACUUAUCAUAAAAUCCAUCCAAUUCACGUCGAAUUGAUUUCAAACGUGCAAUGUAGCCUCUGGCAUGGUCAACCCAUUUCAAAGAAGGGUAGAAAUCUCCAAAGCUGAAAGUCAUCAUCUGAACCAUCAACUCCUUUAUGACCUUUUCAAACCAAUUGUCUUCUUUGUCCUCAAACUUCUGUCCAAGAACGCACCUACAGAUGAUGUUGUUGGAGGUUGACACCAGCAGCGGCCCCAGAUUGAUGGGAGCCCCGUUUGUGCUGGCGGAGGCUUUGCGAAUCUUGCUGACCAGCUCUGCACAUUCUUCCACCCUUGCGUACUGAAACUGCUGCACUCUUUUCACGCUCAGAAGCUCAAGAACAACCACUUUUCGAGCUUUUCUCCAGUACUCCCCGUAAGGAGCAAACGCAACGUUAUAGCCGUUGAAGAACAAUAUAGUUGCAGCUGUAGUUUGAGGCCGGCCAGAGAAACCAAUGUCUUGGUUCUUCAUCAUGUCCUUGGCCAGUUCUGCAGAUGAAACUACCAGCGUUGGAAGUUUGCCAAAGUGCAUGAGCAUUAUAUCACCAUACUUCUUCGACAGAUCACGAAGAGAGCGGUGUGGGAAUUUGCCUAGCUGGUGAAGGUUCCCAAUCAGAGGCAGUGUUGGUGGGGAAGGUGGCAGUUCGUAGUUUUUCCCACUUGAAGAUGAUCUUGUAAGUGAUAACAAAAUGUAUGCAGAAAGCAGGAGAAGAGGAAGCAGGAAAAUAUUGCUCUGAAGCUGUUGCCACAUUUCAUUGAAAAGUGAUAAUGCAGCCAUUGUUCUACUUUUUGCCUUUUGCUUUUGGCUGCUCACAUUAAAUUAAUAUAUGUGCCCUUCUUCUUCUUCUUUGUAUAGAGAAGCUGGCAUUGCAACUUGCAUGCGCCUACAAGGUUAGUUGUGAUCAACUUGUGAUGUCCAUGCCCCCCAAUUAUUUAAUGGGAUGCUUCGAUAUGGGUUCAUUUUUGAGUUUGCACUAUGAAUUCAGUUUAUCUUUCUUUUGAUGUAGAAUUGGGUCCAGCUCAGGCCAGCCAAGUAUGCAAAGCCUUGGCCAUUGUACAGUCAAUCCUCUGAAUUUUAUUAAUUACUGCAAUCAAUAAAUUAAUAUCACAUCUCUACGAUUAAUCUCAAUUUAUUAAAUGCUUUCAAUCUUUGAAUACCUUAUGAUGAGGUAUAUAUGUCUUUGGGUGGUUUGAUUUACCUGCUUUGCAGGUUUGUGUAUACCUCUUUCAUAGGUAAUUUCAUAUCAUAUAUCUCCUCCAUAGGUAAUUAAUAUAUACUUCCUCCAUAGAUAAAUAGCAUUCAGAUGUAUACCUCCUCCAUAGGUAAUUUACCUAUCCAUACCUAAUUAACAUUCAUGUAUAUUCCUAGUCCAUAGAUAAUUAUACCUCCUCCAUAGGACUACAAGAAGAAAAAGAAGGAAGAAGAAAGAUUGUGGGAAAUUUAGUUAUUUAUUUAUUGUAUCAGGGCAUGUUUAUGGGAUUUUCAAAAUUAAAAUGGAUGGACAAGAAAAUAUUUUAUAAAUUCAAAUCAUAAUUAACUAAAAGGUCAAAUAUAGUAAUUAUUGGCCUAAGAUUAAUUUCUCACUCUUUUAUGAAUUGCAAUCAGAAUCAAUAGUUGUAUUAAUUAGCUAAUUAUUAUGAUAUAAAUCAAUCUUCCCAAUUUAAAUCAUAAGGCAUAAUUGGAACAUGAAAAUAAAUGUAAAAAUAAAAAAUAUAUAUGAUUACAUCAUAAAAUUAGAAAAGGAAUGUAAUCCUAUGUGGCAUUAGAAGAGGACUUGGAUUACUAAUAAUACGUGUGUGGAUUGCACCCAAAUUCUACCGGAGAAAUUAUAGAAUGAUAUGGUAGUACCAUGUCAGCGUAUAGUACUCCCAUUUAAAUACAGCCACAUGUCCAUUUUAGAAAAGAAAUUAAUUACGUUUCACAACUGGACUUUUUAGUUUAAUUCUUAACUUUGGAAAUAAAAUUAGAAAAGAAAAAUUAAAAAAAGAAUUUCCUAACAGCCAACUAUCUCCUAACCCAACAACAACCCUAAUCCCAACUACCUGCUAUGAUGGCCACCCCUCUCCUUCCACUAUCUUCACCCCUGAUACUAAUUGUAGACAAGGGAUUUUAGAGGAAGGAGGAUUAAACUGGUAUUGAUGAUGAUGAAAUGGAGUAGUCUUGAUAAUUAAAAAUUGGUUCGUUCUUGAGGGUCUAUAUCUGGGUCUGAAAAUAUUCCAAGGUGGCAGUGGGUUGAAUUAACAUUGUGUAGAGUGUCAUAAGCGAAUUCAAAAAAAAUAUAUAUAUAUAUAUAUAUAUAUAGGGGAAUUAAGGAAGAUGAUGAUAUUAUUGGGUUUGGAUGUUGAUGGUUUUCAUGAGGAGCGGCGAUGGCAGUGGUGAAUAGAAAGAGAGAGGGGAGGAAGAGGAAGAGAGAAGGGUGGCUGCCAUGGUUUUUCUUCGUUUAAGUUUUCUCUUUUUCUAAUUUUAUUUCAAAACUUAAGAAUUAAUAAAGUAAAAAGUCUAGCUGUAAAAUAAUAA